CGCAAAAAACUCUGACGCAGAUAGUCCACAUAAUUGACCUGCGCAGCGACACAUGUCACUUAUAUUAACAGCGAGAGGUACCGGCGUUUACCAUACUGUAGCUAACACUCGAAGCGUUCGGACGUGUUAAAACUUACAAUCAGUGAAAAUGUAUACAAAUCCAUUCGAGAGGAAACACUCAGUGUUGAGGCAGGCCCUUGAUAAGUUCAUCAAGGGUGAAACGAGACUGAGCUUCAGGAAGAAGACGUUGUCGAAGAGGAUAAGCAGUGAUUCUUCUAUGUCGUCAAAUAGUACCACGGAUAGUUCUCAGAAGUUCAGCUUGAAGAGAUGAACGGGUAUAUUGUGAAGUUUUUGUGAAUAAAAAUUUUGCUACGGUCUACUCGCAAAAAGGUUGAGUCGGGUCAUACUUCGGAACUGGUUUCUUGACGUCAGAACAUCAGGUCAUUAUCAUUCGUUGGUGGAAAUAUAUGCAACAUAAUGGUACUAUAAAAUAAAGAUUUAUAUAUAAUAACAUGGUGUUCUUAUUCCAAGUAAUAAACUUCUUAUUAUUUA